rnacentral:rRNA from 1 species
AGUGCUCAUAGCCGAAUCCGGCGCUUUGCGGCGUCGGAAAUGUGGCGUAUGGGAGGCGGAGUCCUCCGAGUGCGACCGGCGGUACAAGUCCCCAUGAGAGGGGCAUUUACCCCGAGCGGGUGCUAGGCCCGUACCGCCGCCGGUCAGCGCGCGGAGUUGCCGUUCUCCCGGGAGUCGGGUUGCUUGGGAGUGCAGCCCUAAGUGGGUGGUAAACUCCACCUAAAGCUAAAUAAGACCGAGAGACCGAUAGCGAACAAGUACCGUGAGGGAAAGUUGAAAAGCACUUUGAAGAGAGAGUUCAAGAGUACGUGAAACCGUUCAGAGGUAAACGGGUGGGACCUCGAAGUCCGAAGGCGGUGGUGGAUUCAGCCGGGUGCUGCUGUAUAUACCCUUUCCGAGGUUUCCUCACGACGAGGCCCUCUGUUGGGGAUUUUGUCUAGUUCCCGGCGCACUUCCACACCCCGUCCAGUAGGGCGUCGCGACCGGUUGGAAGGCUGUCGUAAGGGCGGACGUGAAAGGUGGCUGCAUUUCCCUCGGGAUCUGCGGUGUUACAGCCUGUCCAUUCCCCGACUGGUCGUCCGACCGGGGUCGAGUUCAUCUCUGUUGCGUUCCCUUCCAGAAGGAAGCGCGGCGCGGGUCGAGCUUGUUUCGGAGCGGUGUGCCACCUUCAAGGGUGAGCACCUUUCGAGAUAGGUUUCUGGCCUGUGGCCGCGCGGGGAGCCGGAGGUCGCGGCGAGUAGGUCGGUUACCCACCCGACCCGUCUUGAAACACGGACCAAGGAGUCUAACGCGUGUGCGAGUUCCCGGGACUUGAAUAGGCCUGUGGGCGCAAUAAAAGUAAAGGUCGUCUUUAAGACGACCGAGUUGGGAUCCGAACCUUCGGGGACGGCGCACCAACGGCCCGUCCGUGCCGGUUUCGGAAGGGCGGAGMUAGAGCAUACGCUCUGGGACCCGAAAGAUGGGAACUA